rnacentral:lncRNA from 1 species
AAAAGUCUUGCUUUACACAAAAUUGCUUUCCUUGCUUUCCUUGCUUUCCUUGCUUUCCUUGCUUUCCUUGCUUUCCUUGCUUUCCUUCCUUUCCUUCCUUUCCUUCCUUUCCUUCCUUUCCUUCCUUUCCUUCCUUUCCUUCCUUUCCUUCCUUUCCUUCCUUUCCUUCCUUUCCUUCCUUUCCUUCCUUUCCUUCCUUUCCUUCCUUUCCUUCCUUUCCUUCCUUUCCUUCCUUUCCUUCCUUUCCUUCCUUUCCUUCCUUUCCUUCCUUUCCUUCCUUUCCUUCCUUUCCUUCCUUUCCUUCCUUUCCUUCCUUUCCUUCCUUUCCUUCCUUUCCUUCCUUUCCUUCCUUUCCUUCCUUUCCUUCCUUUCCUUCCUUUCCUUCCUUUCCUUCCUUUCCUUCCUUUCCUUCCUUUCCUUCCUUUCCUUCCUUUCCUUCCUUUCCUUCCUUUCCUUCCUUUCCUUCCUUUCCUUCCUUUCCUUCCUUUCCUUCCUUUCCUUCCUUUCCUUCCUUUCCUUCCUUUCCUUCCUUUCCUUCCUUUCCUUCCUUUCCUUCCUUUCCUUCCUUUCCUUCCUUUCCUUCCUUUCCUUCCUUUCCUUCCUUUCCUUCCUUUCCUUCCUUUCCUUCCUUUCCUUCCUUUCCUUCCUUUCCUUCCUUUCCUUCCUUUCCUUCCUUUCCUUCCUUUCCUUCCUUUCCUUCCUUUCCUUCCUUUCCUUCCUUUCCUUCCUUUCCUUCCUUUCCUUCCUUUCCUUCCUUUCCUUCCUUUCCUUCCUUUCCUUCCUUUCCUUCCUUUCCUUCCUUUCCUUCCUUUCCUUCCUUUCCUUCCUUUCCUUCCUUUCCUUCCUUUCCUUCCUUUCCUUCCUUUCCUUCCUUUCCUUCCUUUCCUUCCUUUCCUUCCUUUCCUUCCUUUCCUUCCUUUCCUUCCUUUCCUUCCUUUCCUUCCUUUCCUUCCUUUCCUUCCUUUCCUUCCUUUCCUUCCUUUCCUUCCUUUCCUUCCUUUCCUUCCUUUCCUUCCUUUCCUUCCUUUCCUUCCUUUCCUUCCUUUCCUUCCUUUCCUUCCUUUCCUUCCUUUCCUUCCUUUCCUUCCUUUCCUUCCUUUCCUUCCUUUCCUUCCUUUCCUUCCUUUCCUUCCUUUCCUUCCUUUCCUUCCUUUCCUUCCUUUCCUUCCUUUCCUUCCUUUCCUUCCUUUCCUUCCUUUCCUUCCUUUCCUUCCUUUCCUUCCUUUCCUUCCUUUCCUUCCUUUCCUUCCUUUCCUUCCUUUCCUUCCUUUCCUUCCUUUCCUUCCUUUCCUUCCUUUCCUUCCUUUCCUUCCUUUCCUUCCUUUCCUCCUUCCCUUCCCUCUCCCCCUUUCCUCCCCACUUCAGAAGGGAACAACUCAUUUGUAGCUCAGCACAUAAAAAUACCUCUAAAUCAAA